AGUUCCCAUUCCUGGUGUCCAAUCCCAGUGCCACUCCCAGUUCCCCGAUCCCAGUCCCAGUCCCCAAUCCCAGUGCCCAGUCCCAGUUCCCAUUCCCCUUCCCAAUCCCAGUUCCCAUUCCCAGUUCCCAUUCCUAUUCCCAUUCCCAUUCCCAUUCCCAGUUCGCAUUCCCAUUCCCAUUCCCAUUCCCAGUUCCCAUUCCCAUUCCCAUUCUCACUUAAAUUCUCCCCCCUCACCUUCAUUAAAAACCCCCCUCGCAAUUAAUAUUAAUAUUAAUAUUAUUUAUUAUAAUAAAGACCGGUCAAGCAGCGUGAAAAAAAUAUAUCUUAGCUACAUCACCUUAAAUUGCCAAAAAUAUACACAUUUUUCUCUUUUGUUGAAUAUUUUAAAAAAAACCAAAAAACAAAAAAUCCUAAAAACGAAUAAAAUAAAGGGAAAAAAACCCAAAAGGAGACAUGCAAUGAUCCUAAAGGAGAGCAUGGAAAUGGGUAAAGAAAAACGUACCCCAGUGCAAGCGAAAUGUGGAUAAACUCCAGAUUUUCCUUUUUUUUCCUUUUUUUCCUUCUCCUUCCCCCUGAUCUCCCGAUUUUUUGUUGGUUUUUUGUUGGUUUUUUUUUAAUUUGUUGUUUUUUUGUUUGGGUUAUUUGUUUGUUUUUUUCCCCACAGGAAAAACAAAAUCCCCACCUGGAAUUUCCCAGCUCCUGUUCCUGGCUCUGCCCAAGGGAUUUUUGGGGAGAUUCCCGGGGGGAAUUGGAAAAUUCCCGGGGUUUGGGAGCCUUUGGAAGGUCGGGCACAGGGGAAGGUGUAAGUGCUUUGUGUCCCUGAUCCCCCAGUCCCGGAAUUCCCGGGAGCAGGAGGGAUCCGGCUCUGGGAAUUCCGGGAUCCAGCUCCGGGAAUUGCCACAGAUCCAGAGGGAUCCAGCUCCGGGAAUUCCCAGACAAUCACAGGGAUCCAACUCCGGGAAUUCCUGGAUCCAGCUCCGGGAAUUCCUGGAUCCGGCUCCCUUUGGUGUCCUGGCCUUGUCCAGGGGAUUUGGGCACUGGCCCCAAACCGGCGCCGAUCCCGAAGGGAUUUGGGGUCUCCCAGGGGAUCAAUUCCCUUCCCAGCCCUUCCGGAUCCCCUGGGCUGGAUUGGGGAAGAAUUGGGAGAUUUGGGCACAAAUUUGGGGUUUUUGGGGUUGCAAAUGGGGCUGGAGGCCACGGGCAGCACUGCUGGGAUUUGGGAUCCCGGAGCACCGCAGGGAUUUGGGAUCCUGGGGCACCACAGGAAUUUGGGAUUUUCCAGGGGGAUUUUGGGUGGCACCUCCAGGGAUGCCGAGGGAAGGGGAACGACCCAGUUCGGGAUGGGGGAAAAAGAGAAAAAUCCAAAGGAAUUUCAAAGUGCAAGAAGGGAAUUGUGCUGGAGCGGGUUUGGGGACGGGGAUCCCAAAGGAUUUGGGCUCCCCCAACAGCUUCCUAAGCUCGUUAAAACCUCGGGAUAGAUAAAUCCCAUUAUAUAUUUAAUUUAUAUUUCUAUUUCCAGCAGCCAGUGGCUCUGCCCAGUUCAGAGCUCCAGGCUGGCAGCAGAAAAGGUUUGGUAUAUAUUUUUUUUUCUCUUUUUUUUUUUUUUAGACAACCCUCACGGUGUGAACCUUAGGGGGAAAAAAACCCCAAUAAAAUAAAAUAAAAUAAAAUAAAAUAAAAUAAAAUAAAAUAAAAUAAAAUAAAAUAAAAUAAAAUAAAAUAAAAUAAAAUAAAAUAAAAUAAAAUAAAAUAAAAUAGAAUAAGCAUUUUAAAAAAGGAAAUUCAGUGGAGGAUUCUGCCAGCACGAUCAGCGCAGCCCCGCUGCUGAUAACGGGAAUAGUGCAAAGCGGGAAGGGCAGUGGGGAUGCGCUGAACGCGGCACAAAAGUCCCAAAUUUUGGGAUUUGGGGCUCUCCCAAAGGAGUUUCCGUCAGCUGGAGCAUUCCAGGAGCUCCGGAUUUACCCAGGGAUGAGGGAAGGAAGGGAAUUGGGGCAUUUGGUGGUGGUCGCCUUCCCCGAAUUGCCCUGACUGUCCUUCCUUCCU
rnacentral:lncRNA from 1 species